rfam:Lachnospiraceae bacterium 2_1_46FAA genomic scaffold aclXT-supercont-complete, whole genome shotgun sequence.
AGGAGCCGUAUGCGGGAAAGCCGCACGUACGGAUCUGUGAGGGGCUAAAGUUGCAAGGCUUUAGUCUACUCGAC